AUGAGGAAAGAGUGGAGGCUUCCAGAAGAAAAGGAGUUCUGGUACACUGGAACAGACUGGCUACAAAUCCUACUGGACAAGUAUGAUUCAGAGAUAAGAAAGAUAAUUCUGCUGUUGUUAUGGAGAGCCUGGUUUCUACGAGAUAACUGUAUCCACAGUGAUGGCAAAGAAACCAUUUCGAGAUCGGUGAUGUUCCUUGUGCAGUAUGAGGAGGAAAUCAGGAAUUUGUCGCUAUCUGUUGUUGGACAGGGAAACAAGAGUUGCUGGUCCCUGUCUGCAUCUAUGCAGACACACCACACCUAG
rnacentral:rRNA from 1 species